GUGAGGAAUUUUCCGCAAUGGGCGAAAGCCUGACGGAGCAAUGCCGCGUGAAGGAUGAAGGCCUAUGGGUUGUAAACUUCUUUUCUCAGAAAAGAAUUAUGACGGUAUCUGAGGAAUAAGCAUCGGCUAACUCUGUGCCAGCAGCCGCGGUAAGACAGAGGAUGCAAGAGUUAUCCGGAAUGAUUGGGCGUAAAGCGUCUGUAGGUUGUUUAAAAAGUAUUCUGUCAAAGAUUAGGGCUUAACCCUAGAUAGGCAGAAUAAACUUUUAAGCUAGAGUGUGGUAGAGGCAGAGGGAAUUCCCGGUGGAGCGGUGAAAUGCGUAGAUAUCGUGAGGAACACCAAAGGCGAAGGCACUCUGCUGGGCCAAUACUAACACUGAGAGACGAAAGCGAGGGGAGCAAAUGGGAUUAGAAACCCUAGUAGUCC
rnacentral:rRNA from 1 species